GCUCCCAGCGCCCAAUCCUAAAACGCGACCCCUGGCCCCACCCUCGGCUGAGGAGCCAGACCCAGGCUGUCGGGAGCCGCGCAGGCGCGGAGGAGCAGCAGUCACAAGCUGAGCUGUGCAGUGCGUUUUAAGUUCGCGUCAUCCAUCCGCGGUUCCGAGAACCAGGCUUCUGCCGAGUUUCUCGGGGUUUGGGGGACAACUCUUCCAGGGCUCUUGUGGUCCUCUCAUCCUGACAGGGAAAAGAAGAGAGAAGUUAGUAGAACAGACUACAGCCCUUGUUGCUGCAGGACGUGACAAAGCUACAAGUCAGUCAUCACCUCCUUCUUUACUAUCCUGAUUUCCCCUUGCUGAUCCUGCCGGGCUCGUGAGGGGUCCCCAAGCCCUUCUUUGUGAGGAGCUCAAGCACCCCCAACCUUAACACCUUCACUCCUUCCUAGAAGGUGUAAGUAUGGAGCAAAUGGAGAUAUUUCUAGAAAAAGACAUCCUGUUACUUAGAAGAAAUUGAUUCAAGCACCCCCAACCUUAACACCUUCACUCCUUCCUAGAAGGUCUGUCUGUCUUUCCCACUCAGUGUCCAUGAUGCAUUGCUGCCAGCUGAUUUUUGUGGCCAACACAUCAUACAGUAACUGCCCAGUGAGCCACACUCUGUACAAUCCUCUCUCCCUGAGCACACGUGAAAUCUGUGACUUGCUUCUAAUCAGGAGAAUAUGGCAACAGUGAAGGACUGUCACUCCCUUCAUUAGGUUACUAUCUACAGAUUUAUCUAUAUCUAUCCAUAUCUAUAGCUAUGUAACUCCAACUUUCUUGCACACACACUAGAGAGAUCCUUUUUGCUGACUUUGAAGAAGUGAGCUGCCAUGCAGUGCAAGGCCUUUGGUAAGGCUCAGGUGGCAAGGAGCUGUAGGUGGCCUGUAGGACCUGAGUGUCCUUAGUCAUUUAUCCACAAGGACAUGAAUCAGAUUUAAAUUCUUCCCAAGCGGGGCUUCCAGACGAGAUUGCAGUGUGGCUGACCUCUCAACUGUAGCCUCGUGUGAUCACAAGCAGAAGACCCAGUUAAGCUGUGCCUGAACACCUUUCCCAUGGAAACUGUGAGACAAUAAAUGUGCAUUGUUUGAAGCCACUAA